GAUGAACGCUGGCGGCGUGCCUAAUACAUGCAAGUCGAGCGAACAGACGAGGAGCUUGCUCCUCUGACGUUAGCGGCGGACGGGUGAGUAACACGUGGAUAACCUACCUAUAAGACUGGGAUAACUUCGGGAAACCGGAGCUAAUACCGGAUAAUAUAUUGAACCGCAUGGUUCAAUAGUGAAAGACGGUUUUGCUGUCACUUAUAGAUGGAUCCGCGCCGCAUUAGCUAGUUGGUAAGGUAACGGCUUACCAAGGCAACGAUGCGUAGCCGACCUGAGAGGGUGGUCGGCCACACUGGAACUGAGACCCGGUCCAGACUCCUACGGGAGGCAGCAGUAGGGAAUCUUCCGCAAUGGGCGAAAGCCUGACGGAGCAACGCCGCGUGAGUGAUGAAGGUCUUCGGAUCGUAAAACUCUGUUAUUAGGGAAGAACAAAUGUGUAAGUAACUAUGCACGUCUUGACGGUACCUAAUCAGAAAGCCACGGCUAACUACGUG
rnacentral:rRNA from 1 species